AGAUCACAGAAACGUCCUUCCAGCUUCAGUUCGACAGACAGACACAGGAAGACGUCAGAAAAGAGGCAGAAGUGAAGACCUGAGGCUGUGAAGGAACAAAGAACCUGCAGAACUUGGGUCCUGAAAAUUCAAUGAGGGGAAAAAAGUACUUUGGCUUUUACUUCCAUCUUUAAGGCAGAAAAAUGGUUCUCAAAUCAUGGUACGAUUACCUCUGGGGAUACUUGGCCUGCCUUUUUGCACUCAUCAACUAUUCACAAG